rnacentral:rRNA from 1 species
UACGGGGGGGGUAAGCGUUGUUCGGAAUUACUGGGCGUAAAGGGCUCGUAGGCGGCCAACUAAGUCAUACGUGAAAUCCCUCAGCUUAACUGGGGAACUGCGUGUGAUACUGGAUGGCUUGGAUUUGGGAGAGGGAUGCGGAAUUCCGGGUGUAGCGGUGAAAUGCGUAGAUAUCUGGAGGAACACCGGUGGCGAAGGCGGCAUCCUGGACCAAUAUUGACGCUGAGGAGCGAAAGCUAGGGGAGCAAACGGG